AUGGGGGUCCUCCUAAGAGUUCACUCUCAGCGCCACUUCUCAGCCGCUGGGCCUUGGCACCGGACCUCCAGGAACCUAGAAAACCCUGCUCGCCCCUCCUCCAGCUGCCUGAGGACCCCAUCCCAGGAAGCCUCCGGGAAGCGCCCCCUCCCCUUCCUCCCCAGGAGGUCGGAGCUCCGUGCCCUUCUCCGCGGCUGCAGGGUGCGGAGCGAGCGGGGGCCUCGCCCGCCUUGUAGCCCGCGUUCCCGCUCCCUGUGCAAGUCCCGCACCAGGGCCUCGGGCCCCCGCACACCUCCGCCGCACCGGCCUCCCUGGCCCGCUCCUGGGGUCUCCCGAUCGACCGCAAGCUCGGGGCUUCACUCCGCGCCGCCCCCUCCCCAAGCCCAGAGCGCUUCCCCGGGGCGGAGGGGGUCGGCAGGUGUCAGGAGGAGCCCCCCUUCCCACCUGGGGAGACCGACUGCGAGGGCCGGGGCGCCGGGGCCUCGGUGGGGCGGGGGCUGGCCCGGGAAUUCAGGGAAUCGAUCGUCUUCUGGGAAGCGUGACCGUGAAACCCCGACUUGGGAGCCUCAGGCGGGGCGUCAGCCCCUGAGGGGAGGCUCGGGAUGGGGUCUGGAGGCUCGCGGCAGGGCACUGACCCCUCGGCAACUGGGCGGUCCGACCCGGCCCGCCGCCCUUCCCCUGACAGGGUGGCCAGGGGCUGCGGCCUCUUUAAGGUCCGACCUCCUCCCACCUCCUCAGAGCCGCUCCGCCAGUUCCAGACUUCCCUCCGCGAUGAGGUCAUCUCCCCGCCGCCCAUUGGCUGCGCCGCGCUGUCAGUCACAGGAAGUCGCGCCGCCGUCCCCUCCUCGCUCGUUCCCCUUCCUUCCCCGAACGCCCCUCUGGGCCGAGGAGCCCUGCCCCGACUGGGCCUCUGAUUGGCCAGCUGCGCUGCCACUCCUCCGGCGGGGCGGGGCGGGAGGCGGGAGGCGGCUGUGGUGGGAGGGCCCGCAGCUUCCGUGGCUAAGAGGAGCCGGCGGCGGCUGUGUCUGUGGUGGCCCCGGCGGCGGCGGCGGCGAGCGCGACCGGCCCUGCCUCCCCACCCCCUCGGCUCGGCUCGCCACACGCCCUCGGCGCGCGCCGACCUCUCCCCGGCCCCGCGCGCCCUGCUUGGACGGUGAGCCUCGGGAGGAGCCGCGAGCGGCCGGAGCCGAGCCGGGCGAGCCGCGGAGCCCGGGCCAGGAGAGCGCCGCGUGA
rnacentral:lncRNA from 1 species